UCUGCACGGGGGGGAAAAAAAAGAGGAAAGAAAAUAAUUGAUGAGCAGGCAUGGGCAGAGAUGGGGAGCAGACAGGAAACCCUUGCAACGGUACCACUGAUCUCUCCGCUCCUCUGAGAACUUUGCCCCGACACUGGGCCCUGCCCACCAGCGGGGUGAAAACAUAUGCUAACUUUUACUCAAUUAUUUGGAAUCUUAGACAACACCGUUCUUUCUUGAAGAAGGCAAAUGUCUACAAAUGCACGAAGUCCAGCCCCAUCCCUUCUGCCUCAACAGAUUGAUAAAUGUAAUCUGAGGGGAGGGGGGGGGCUCUCUACUAAAAGCAAAAGCAAGACUGUUGUGCUUUACAAAGAGAAAAUCUCAAGGAAACGUCUUAAGUGCUCAACGCUGUGCUCCUCUGCCCUGGUCCUCCCAGAAGAUGGCCGUAGGGUACGCUAAAGGUUCAUUUGCCAAGCAGUAAAAGCCUUGGACUGCACUAAAAUCUAUCUUCCUUGUUUACAAAUGCUUCCCAUUCAUGCCCUAAAGAAUCCAAAUUAGGAAAGAGUUUUAUGGCCAUAAGCCCCCGAUACGAACUUGGACCCGCUGUGCAGUCUGGGCCGCGCGCUUCCGGUGGCUGUCCUGGUGGCCGCUUCCCGCCAGCCACAGGACAAGUGGCUGUUCAUAGGAUUGUACACACGGCUUUGUUUCUGUUGGAAAUGUGUUUUAUUUUCUCUAUAAAAUAAUGGGUGAUCUUUAAAAUUGAUUUUAGAUGGUCUGAGGCAUUACACAGCACAGAAGUAAUGUGCACUAAUGGCGACGAUAUUGGACACAAAUUCAUUUUAGCUUUAUUUCACGUCUAAAGCAAUUCUACUGAGCCUUGAACUGCUCACGUGCUGUUAUUAACUCGCUGGGUACCUAACACAUGGGUACCGCAAACAAAAGUGAUCAGGGUGCAGGCUGAUGGAGACCUCAAGGCUACUGUCCCUUUUCUUCUGCCAUAAUUCAAUUUCCAAUUUGACUGUGCAUUAGUCUCCUUAGCUCUCGGUUUUCUGCUGAAUACUGCCACCUGGAGGACACAAGGGUGAAAAGCGAGAGUCCAGGCCACCCAGUUCACUGGGAAGAGAGGUAAGCGUGGGGGACAGGAGACAGACACCCCCCUGAAGGCUCACACUCACAGGGCCCCGAGAGAGCUCGGAACCACUGUGCCUGCUGAGUUUAGUUUUAUUUUUUAAUUUUUGUGCCUUGAUGGCUAAAUUUAGGCCACCAGGACUGUACAGGUAUGAAUUUGAAACAAAUAAAAAACUACUUUAAUAUA